rnacentral:rRNA from 1 species
GGGGGGGGGGGGGGGGGGGCGGGGGGGGGGGGGGGCGGGGGGGGGGGCGCCUUCGGUGUGGGUGGGUGGGGGUGGGUGGCGGAGGGGUGAGGAGCCCGUGGGUCACCUGCCCCCUGCUUCUGGCUAACCGCCUGAAGGUGUGGCUCGUCCUGUGUAUUCUGGGUCUUGCGCGUGAUGUGUCUGGUGAAGAGCGUGUUUCGUGGGGGGAUGGUCUCGCGGCCUAUCAGCUUGUUGGUGGGGUGAUGGCCUACCAAGGCGGUGAAGGUUCGCCGGCCUGAGAGGGUGGACGGUCACACUGGGACUGAGACACGACCCAGACUCCUACGGGAGGCAGCAGUGGGGAAUAUGGCACAAUGGGCGCAAGCCUGAUGCAGCGACGCCGCGGGAGGGAUGGAGGCCUUCGGGUUGUGAACCUCUUUCGCCAGUGAAGCAGGCCUGCCUCGUUUGUGGGUGGGUUGACGGUAGCUGGAUAAGAAGCGCCGGCUAACUACGUG